UGGGGGAUAUUGCACAAUGGGCGAAAGCCUGAUGCAGCGACGCCGCGUGGGGGAUGAAGGCCUUCGGGUUGUAAAGUACUUUCAGCGGGGAGGAAGGGAGUAAAGUUAAUACCUUUGCUCAUUGACGUUACCCGCAGAAGAAGCACCGGCUAACUCCGUGCCAGCAGCCGCGGUAAUACGGAGGGUGCAAGCGUUAAUCGGAAUUACUGGGCGUAAAGCGCACGCAGGCGGUUUGUUAAGUCAGAUGUGAAAUCCCCGGGCUCAACCUGGGAACUGCAUCUGAUACUGGCAAGCUUGAGUCUCGUAGAGGGGGGUAGAAUUCCAGGUGUAGCGGUGAAAUGCGUAGAGAUCUGGAGGAAUACCGGUGGCGAAGGCGGCCCCCUGGACGAAGACUGACGCUCAGGUGCGAAAGCGUGGGGAGCAAACAGG
rnacentral:rRNA from 1 species